rnacentral:rRNA from 1 species
GAUGAACGCUAGCGGCAGGCUUAAUACAUGCAAGUCGUGGGGCAGCAUGAAGUAGCAAUACUUUGAUGGCGACCGGCAAACGGGUGCGGAACACGUACACAACCUUCCUUUUAGUGGGGAAUAGCCCAGAGAAAUUUGGAUUAAUACCCCGUAACAUAGCGAUGUGGCGUCACAUUGCUAUUAUAGCUUCGGCGCUAGAUGAUGGGUGUGCGUAUGAUUAGAUAGUUGGCGAGGUAACGGCUCACCAAGUCUACGAUCAUUAGCUGAUGUGAGAGCGUGAUCAGCCACACGGGCACUGAGACACGGGCCCGACUCAUACGGGAGGCAGCAGUAAGGAAUAUUGGUCAAUGGACGAAAGUCUGAACCAGCCAUGCCGCGGGAAGGAUUAAGGUCCUCUGGAUUGUAAACUUCUUUUAUAUGGACGAAAAAAGGUCUUUCUAGAUCACUUGACGGUACCAUAUGAAUAAGCACCGGCUAACUCCGUGCCAGCAGCCGCCGUAAAAC